GGUAUCAAUAUCCUUCUGAAGAUACGGUCUCCAGUACUGCGUACAAUACUCCAAGUGAGGUCUCACCAGUGUUCUGUACAAUGGCAUGAGCACUUCCCUUUUUCUACUGCUAAUACCUCUCCCUAUACAACCAAGCAUUCUGCUAGCAUUUCCUGCUGCUCUAUUACAUUGUCUGCCUACCUUUAAGUCAUCAGAAAUAAUCACCCCUAAAUCCCUUUCCUCAGAUGUUGAGGUUAGGACUCUAUGAAAUAUUCUGUACUCUGCCCUUGGGUUUUUACGUCCAAGAUGCAUUAUCUUGCACUUAUCCACAUUAAAUGUCAGUUGCCACAACUUUGACCAUUUUUCUAGUUUACCUAAAUCAUUUGCCAUUUGGCUUAUCCCUCCUGGAACAUCAACCCUGUUACAUAUCUUAGUAUCAUCAGCAAAAAGACAUACCUUACCAUCAAGACCUUCUGCAAUAUCACUAAUAAAAAUAUUAAAGAGAAU